rnacentral:rRNA from 1 species
CUGGUUGAUCCUGCCAGAGGCUACUGCUAUCGGGGUCCGGCUAAGCCAUGCGAGUUGAGAGGGGUAAGCCCUCGGCGAAUUGCUCAGUAACACGCGGAUAACCUGCCCUUGGGUCCGGGAUAACCCCGGGAAACUGGGACUAAUACCGGAUAGAUCAAAGAUACUGGAAUGUUCCUUGGUCUAAAACUCCGGUGCCCAAGGAUGGGUCUGCGGCCUAUCAGGUAGUAGUGGGUGUAACGUACCUACUAGCCUACGACGGGUAAGGGUUGUGAGAGCAAGAGCCCUGAGAUGGAUUCUGAGACAUGAAUCCAGGCCCUACGGGGUGCAGCAGGCGCGAAAACUUUACAAUGCGGGAAACCGCGAUAAGGGGACCCCGAGUGCCAGUACCUAGUACUGGCUGUCCCGCUGUCCAAAUAACAGUGGUUAGCAAGGGCCGGGCAAGACCGGUGCCAGCCGCCGCGGUAACACCGGCGGCUCGAGUGGUAACCGUUAUUAUUGGGUCUAAAGGGUCUGUAGCCGGCCGGAUAAGUCUCUUGGGAAAUCUGGCAGCUUAACUGUCAGGCUUUCAGGAGAUACUGUCUGGCUCGAGGCCGGGAGAGGUGAGAGGUACUUCAGGGGUAGGGGUGAAAUCUUGUAAUCCUUGAAGGACCACCAGUGGCGAAGGCGUCUCACCAGAACGGACCUGACGGCAAGGGACGAAAGCUAGGGGCACGAACCGGAUUAGAUACCCGGGUAGUCCUAGCCGUAAACGAUACUCGCUAGGUGUCGGCAACGGUGCGACCGUUGUCGGUGCCGUAGGGAAGCCGUGAAGCGAGCCACCUGGGAAGUACGGCCGCAAGGCUGAAACUUAAAGGAAUUGGCGGGGGAGCACCACAACGGGUGGAGCUUGCGGUUUAAUUGGAUUCAACGCCGGG